rnacentral:lncRNA from 1 species
CAUGUAGCUGCAUGUGUUAUAACAUUACAUGAAAGACAACUUAAAUGAAUUUUGCUAUGCUGGUACUUUUUUUUACUCAGUUGAAAAAUGAGAAUCGUAAUGUAUUCACGACAUUCUGAAAUUACUGUCUUUUAGAUGACGAAUCGAACUACACUGCAUACUCUCGAGUUAGUGAAAAUUUCGGAAUACAUAAGUUAUAGUCACACGCGCAUGCAUAAAGAGCAACAAAUGGCAACUUCGUACAAGUACUUCUAAUACAACACAUUCAAACAUAAUGUACAAAAAUCUAGGAUCAUCCAUGUGCGCCUGCAUACCGGGUUUAUAUAACAUUUAUUGCAACCAACAACAAUGACAUGAACGAGCUAGGCAAGCAAAAGUGUAAGUCAAUUUGGACCUGUUUAUACAAAAAUCAUCGCAACCAAUAACAUAAAUUUUGUUCAUACAACGUUCACCCCUUUCAAGAACCCUACGUGGACUCCAAGUUGAGAUGUAGUCACCAUGGAGGGGGUUGAGGCAUCUUCAUCCACUGUCUUCUGCACGUCAAUAACCAAAAACGAUAUAAUGAGAUCAAAGUUAUCAUGGAAGUUCAUUUGGUAAACGCAAAUAUACAGCACUUUCGACAAGAACACUCAACUGAACAAAUAACAACACGAUGGUGCUCUUACAUACAUAAAGAAGAAAAAACAUCAGCAAACUAGAAAGUACUCCACAAGACUGCAAUGCUGAAGUUUAAUGAAGUCCAUAAUCCAAAGCAAAGAGUGGAAGCUAAAAUUUAAACUUCUAACCUUUGUUACUCAAAAUUGGAGUGCUAAAUUUGACAAGCCUCAUGAAAUAUAUAGAUACAUUCCCAGUCAACUUAUUGUCACUUCAAUGCAACAUUAACCCACGAAACUCAUCUCGUUCGGUCAUCCAACCAAAUUCAGAAGCAAUCAACAACACAACAUCCAAUCCAGUGAUUUUCAUAUACAAAUACGAAUACUUAGAAAAUUGUCUUCCAAGAACCAUACAAUUGAAAUGGAACUACGAAUACCAAUAAUAGCCCAAACAUACUAAAGAAACAAAGCAUAAUCAAUUCUUAAAAAACUUCAACUAUAUCAGAUAUUAAGGAUAAAGGAAGUAAAUCUAGGUUAAAGAAAAAUACUCACCUACAUGGUAGCAUAGGACGGUAGGGGAUUGAAGUCGGAUACCGGCAGCGACAGAGGCGGAACAAAAUUUCUCACCUUCGUUCGCAGAAAGCUGAGAUUUUCAGCAUUUUCUCCCCACAAUAUCAAAUAUCAAAACACCGAAAGAGUGAUAAAUACUCAGGGUUAGAAUCAACAAUAUAAAGGCCGACUACCGGCUUCGUGAUGGAUUAGAGGAGACUAGGUUUUCUCUGAGGGGAAAAUGGAAAACGGGAAUGGGAAGGGUCAGGGAAAAGGGAGGGACCUUAUACUUGUUUUAUAAUUUCUACACAUUUUUAAAAUUAACUUUUGUAUACGGGUUGGGUUGGUCGGCUUCGGGUUGGGUUAAAGGGAUAACCCAUAACCCAACCUAACCAGACAGAAAAUGGGGUAAAUAUAACCGAACCCAAUCCAUUUAAGCAAAAAUGGACCCAAACCCCUUCGAAAUGCUCCUUUACAGAUAUUCGACUGAACGUGACAAAAUCCGACAAUAUAAUGUUUCAAUUGAAUGUAAUAUGAACAGUUCGGAGAAUAUUCGUAUAAUAUUCGACAUGCUCCUUUAGAAUAACGUAAACGUACGACUACGCAAAGACAAACUCCACACAAACUUGAAAUAAUGUCAAAUUACUCCAAAAAUAC